AGAUCUGCAUUGGGCGUAAAGCGUGCGCAGGCGGUUUUGUAAGACAGAGGUGAAAUCCCCGGGCUCAACCUGGGAACUGCCUUUGUGACUGCAAGGCUGGAGUGCGGCAGAGGGGGAUGGAAUUCCGCGUGUAGCAGUGAAAUGCGUAGAUAUGCGGAGGAACACCGAUGGCGAAGGCAAUCCCCUGGGCCUGCACUGACGCUCAUGCACGAAAGCGUGGGGAGCAAACA
rnacentral:rRNA from 1 species